rnacentral:lncRNA from 1 species
GCUUCAUCCGCCCCUCUCUGAAUAUCCCUGUGGAAUAUGUUGUUUCGCUACUGGUCUCCUUUUGUCUCUCUCUCACUCUCUUCUUUGUUCCUCUGUGUGCUUUCCGUCGGACGAGACGGGAAAUUAGUCGGUGAAUGAUUGCAGAGGAGUGGCGCCCGGGGUGGAGAACUCGUCGAGGAACUGCUCGAAGGCCCACUUUGAGAAGUCGUUAACGACGGCUUCGUGAAGUUGG